UCAACCUCAUCGACUCCACAAAAUGAGGUAUUUACGAUUCAUUUCACACAUUCACAAAUCUCUCCCCCAAAACCCUAGCCCCAAUUUCUUCCACACAACUCAAAACCCUAAUCCUAACCUCUUAGCCCUAAUCCAAUCCAAGCUCCCAUCUUUCAAAUCCUCUUCUGCUCAGCCACCAGCUCCAUCAGAGCAAGUCUCGGCGAUCGUCGAUGAGCUCUCGGGUCUCACUCUCCUCGAGGUCUCGGACCUCGUCGAAGCUCUUCGCGAUAGAUUGGGGACCACUGAGAUGCCGCCGACGAUGAUGGUGAUGAUGCCAGGGAUGGUCCCUGGAGGACUGAAGGGGAAGGGCGGUGGUGCGGCGAAGAAGGUGGAGGAGAAGGCGGAGAAGACCGUACUCGAUGUGAAGCUCGAAGGGUUCGAUGCCGCGGCCAAGAUCAAGGUAAUCAAGGAAGUGAGAAAGGCGUGACUAAGGAGGAGGCCGAGUCGAUUAUUGCUAAGAUGAAGGAGGUUGGCGCCAAAGUUUCAAUGGAAUGAGACUUGCUGGGGGUAAUGAGGACGAAGAACAAGAAGUGCGAGGCUUUCUUGUAUGGAUUGUCAACAUCAAGGGCGGCUGAUGUUAAUGCAUCUCACUUGAAUUACUUUUGGCAAGUUAUAGAGAUUAGUUUAGGUUUCUUCAUAGUGCAGGCAUUCUUUGUUAUAACAGCUUUCCUUAUUUUCUUUAACUUGCAAGAAAUGCAUUCAAGCAAAGUUACACUCAGUUGUCCCUACCUUGCUUCUCUUUUGAGUAAAAAUUUCUUUUUGACUCUUAAGACCUAUUGUGAAACUAGUUUUUGAGGAUGAAUUCAUUCAUCUCAUGGACUAUUUAAGAAUUGUACC